rnacentral:rRNA from 1 species
GACAGAGGGUGCAACCGUUGCUCGGAAUUACUGGGCGUAAAGCGCGUGUAGGCGGGAAGAUAAGUCGGGUGUGAAAUCCCUGGGCUCAACCUAGGAACUGCAUUCGAAACUGUCUUUCUGGAGUGAUGGAGAGGAAAGCGGAAUUCCCGGUGUAGUGGUGAAAUGCGUAGAGAUCGGGAGGAACACCUGUGGCGAAGGCGGCCGACUGGGCCGACCCUGACGCUGAGGCGCGAAGGCGUGGGGAGCGAACGGG